AGUGAACGCUGGCGGUAGGCCUAACACAUGCAAGUCGAACGGCAGCACAGUAAGAGCUUGCUCUUACGGGUGGCGAGUGGCGGACGGGUGAGGAAUACAUCGGAAUCUACUUUUUCGUGGGGGAUAACGUAGGGAAACUUACGCUAAUACCGCAUACGAUCUACGGGUGAAAGCAGGGGAUCUUCUGACCUUGCGCGAUUGAAUGAGCCGAUGUCGGAUUAGCUAGUUGGCGGGGUAAAGGCCCACCAAGGCGACGAUCCGUAGCUGGUCUGAGAGGAUGGUCGGCGACACUGGAGCUGAGACGCGCUCCAGGCUCCUACGGGAGGCAGCAGUGGGGAAUGUUGGACAAUGGGCGCGAGCCUGGUCCAGCCAUCCCGCGUGGGUGAAGAAGGCCUUCGGGUUGUAAAGCCCUUUUGUUGGGAAAGAAAAGCAGCAGGUUAAUACCCCGCUGUUCUGACGGUACCCAAAGAAUAAGCACCGGCUAACUUCGUG
rnacentral:rRNA from 1 species